rnacentral:rRNA from 1 species
CAGCAGCCGCGGGAAUACGUAGGGUGCGAGCGUUGUCCGGAAUUAUUGGGCGUAAAGAGCUUGUAGGUGGUUUGUCGCGUCUGCUGUGAAAAUCCGAGGCUCAACCUCGGGCUUGCAGUGGGUACGGGCAGACUAGAGUGCGGUAGGGGAGAUUGGAAUUCCUGGUGUAGCGGUGGAAUGCGCAGAUAUCAGGAGGAACACCGAUGGCGAAGGCAGAUCUCUGGGCCGUAACUGACGCUGAGGAGCGAAAGCGUGGGGAGCGAACAGGAUUAGAUAACCCAGUAGUCCCUGUCUCUUAUAC